rnacentral:misc_RNA from 1 species
UAAUCAUCAACUAUGUCAGGUUCAGGAGCUUCAGGUAACAAAUUCCUUGGGUCUCCCAGUAGGAGCCAUCAUUAACUGCGCCGACAACAGUGGUGC